GAUGAACGCUAGCUACAGGCUUAACACAUGCAAGUCGAGGGACCGGCGCACGGGUGAGUAACACGUAUCCAACCUGCCCUUUACUCGGGGAUAGCCUUUCGAAAGAAAGAUUAAUACCCUAUCUAAAGGAUGGGGAGGCGUUGCAUUAGGUUGUUGGUGAGGGAACGGCCCACCAAGCCUUCGAUGGAUAGGGGUUCGGAGAGGAAGGGCCCCUACAUUGGAACUGAGACACGGUCCAAACUCCUACGGGAGGCAGCAGUGAGGAAUAUUGGUGAAUGGGCGUUAGCCUGAACCAGCCAAGUAGCGGGAAGGAUGAAGGCUUAUGGGUCGUAAACUUCUGAUAUAUAAGAAUAUGUAUUAGAUGAAUAAGGAUCGGCUAACUCCGUGCCAGCAGCCGCGGUAAUUC
rnacentral:rRNA from 1 species